rnacentral:lncRNA from 1 species
ACGAUCAAUUGCUUUUAACUUCUACUCUAUAAUGUUGUAUUAAUUGCUAGGGGAGGCUAGGGAUAGCAAGCCAGUAAUUAGUAUUAGGCUCUUUUCGCCGAGGGAUCGGGUUAAGGGUAGGCUAAGAAAGUUGCAUGACAUUUCUUUUGCAUGUUCAUAUUUUAUUCUCUUACCCAAUUUAUUAAUUUUUAUUUUCAAGUCUUAUUAUUUUAAUUCACGCGAACGAUAAAGCCUUUCGAGUCU